AGAAGGAGAAGAAGGAGAAGAUUAUGAAUGAAAUCUAGGGUUAAGGAUUUUUUCAGUUAUUUUCAGGUUCAGUUUUCGGAUCCUUCGAAGAAAGUUGAUAGAGAGAGAGAGAGAGAGAGAGAGAGAGAGAGAGAUUG